AGCGAACGCUGGCGGCAGGCCUAACACAUGCAAGUCGAACGAACCUUUCGGGGUUAGUGGCGGACGGGUGAGUAACACGUGGGAACGUGCCUUUAGGUUCGGAAUAACUCAGGGAAACUUGUGCUAAUACCGAAUGUGCCCUUCGGGGGAAAGAUUUAUCGCCUUUAGAGCGGCCCGCGUCUGAUUAGCUAGUUGGUUGAGGUAAUGGCUCACCAAGGCGACGAUCAGUAGCUGGUCUGAGAGGAUGAUCAGCCACAUUGGGACUGAGACACGGCCCAAAAUCCUACGGGAGGCAGCAGUGGGGAAUCUUGCGCAAUGGGCGAAAGCCUGACGCAGCCAUGCCGCGUGAAUGAUGAAGGUCUUAGGAUAGUAAAAUUCUUUCACCGGGGACGAUAAUGACGGUACCCGGAGAAGAAGCCCCGGCUAACUUCGUG
rnacentral:rRNA from 1 species